rnacentral:rRNA from 1 species
ACGGGGGGUGCAAGCGUUGUCCGGAAUUAUUAGGCGUAAAGGGUAGGUAGGUGGAUUUUUAAGUGUUAUGUUAAAGGCAAUGGCUUAACCAUUGUAAGCCUUGGGAACUGGAAGACUUGAGUGCAGGAGAGGAAAGUGGAAUUCCUGGUGUAGCGGUGAAAUGCGCAGAUAUUAGGAGGAACACCAGUGGCGAAGGCGACUUUCUAGACCGUCACUGACGCUGAGCCACGAAAGCGUGGGUAGCAAACAG